rnacentral:tRNA from 1 species
GGCGGAUGUAGCCAAGUGGAUCAAGGCAGUGGAUUGUGAUC